CCGGGGGCCGACGGGAGUCGGAGUUCGGAACCCCCGAGCAACCGGAAGCGGCUCCGGCUCCCGGCAGGCAGCGCGAGGAGGAGGAGGAGGUCCAGUCGUCGCUCGGCUGCCCCACCUGUCACCCGGUGGGGGGCAGGGGUGGGGGCGCGUCCUUGCGCGACACUUCAAUCGCCGGGCUAGUCCUCGCAGUCCAGUUGGGCUCAGGAUGAGGGGAGACGGACUGCAGCUCUAAGGUCCGAAGCACAGCGGUCCCCUCCUGGAAGCCCUUCCUUGCCCAUCACCAGCCCGUGCGUCCUCUGCCUGCCAGGCUCCCUACCUUGUGCUCUGUCUUUCCACCCUCCUCCUCCCCGCCCCCAGCCACAUUUUUGCCCUACAUUUCAAAGCCGGCGCUGCGCGUCUUACAUUUUAUGUAUUCAUUUGGUAGAAGAGCCCAAAGCCGUGAGACAGUACAACUUCAACUGCAGUGUGGCUCGUAAAGCGCUCGGGCCCAGGCUCUGCCCCGGCACAGGGGAUUAUUAACUGGAAACUUUGAAUGACUCACCCGUCUGUUUGACUAGUCAUUUAAAGCCUUCCCCCAAACUUUUCCAUCCCUCCCUCCUCCCGGCCAAGGGCCUUGCAAAUGAAACAGAGGAUUGGCCUAUUCCAUGAAGGGUCCAGCUGUAUGCAACUAAUAGGGUUAUUUUGGUGCGUCCCGCUUCUACAUGCAGCAUUAGGCGAAGUGCGCUGGGAUUUGCUCGAGUAUUCCCCUAGGGCUUUAUUGACUGCUUCUGACUGCUUCUCACCCGGCUGAGUUUAGAGACAGAGAACGCGAGCUCAGGCAGACAGAGUGGCAGGCAGAGUCUGAGGGAGAAGCGGGCUCCCUGCCAAGCAAGAAGGCCGAUGUGGGACUCAAUCAGAGGAAGCUGGGAUCAUGACCUGAGCCGAAGGCAGCUGCCCAACCAACUGAGCCACCCAGGUGUCCCGAGAAUAGAUGUUUCUUAACAACCGUAUGUUAUGGUCCAAAUUCUAGAUCUAGAUGCGAAUUGAAAUUUUAAAUACCUCUGUCUUCAAAGAGGAUCCAGCCCAUUAAUGAGACCCCUCAAAAACAAAGCUGUCAGGUACCUUUCAAAACAAAUCUAUGCUAAAGUGGUUUGAAACUGGAUUUAAUAUUAAACUAACAAUUUUUAUGAA